AAGCACUGAUAUUUACAGAAGCUAGUAGUGGAUAUGUGUAAAAUUGAUUUGUAAGAUGAAACGAAGUGGAAAGCAUGAAAUGAUUCAGUAACGGUCCGAUAUCGGGUAACAUUUAGAAGACAUCUGGAGCGAACCGAGUGGACACGUCGACGUCGACCUCCUUCGAGAGGAGAAACAAGAAGGGGGAUGUCCGUCGCGCGUGAACGGUGAGACACGUUACCCACGUGCGAAGCUACGUCUUGAAUCACCAGCUGCCGAUUCGCCGACGACUCCAGGAACCCUGGAGACGUACUAAAAUUAGCAACCAGCGUAGCACCCCCGCCUAGCCCUUACAUGGCCACGUUACUGGCACACGCGCGGUUACUUUCAGAGAAGGAAAGAAGAAGAAAGAAACAAUAAUAAUCAUGGUUCGAACGGCACGAGUCGAUCGUGCGCGAAAUGUCACAGCUGGUGCAGCCGGGUGACCAAUUAUUGCUCUAAUAACAUGGCCCGCUGACGUUCAAUCUCUUUUUAUUAUCGUAAAGAACAGGAAGUACCGCAGGACGGAUUACCAGUUAACCACAUGGCUCCUUUAUGAAUGAAUGGUGUAAUGAACGAACCUGUGCAACGUACGAUAACACCAGGCAAUCGAGUGCAGAUUUUCUUAAAAAUUAUUAUGGCUUCCAUCAUAGUUCAACCUGUGGAAUUGCAAGAA